GAGUUUGAUCUUGGCUCAGGACGAACGCUGGCGGCGUGCCUAACACAUGCAAGUCGAGCGAGAGAGAGAGUUGUAGUAAUACAAUGAUCAAUCGAGCGGCGGAUGGGUGAGUAACGCGUGAGUAACCUACCCUAUAAAGGGGGAUACCAUUGAGAAAUCAAUGCUAAUACCGCAUAAGACCACAGAGCCGCAUGGCAAAGGGGUCAAAGGAGAAAUCCGAUAUAGGAGGGGCUCGCGUCCCAUUAGCUAGUUGGUAAGAUAAAAGCCUACCAAGGCGACGAUGGGUAGCCGACCUGAGAGGGUGAACGGCCACACUGGAACUGAGAGACGGUCCAGACUCCUACGGGAGGCAGCAGUGGGGAAUAUUGGGCAAUGGGGGAAACCCUGACCCAGCAACGCCGCGUGAGUGAAGAAGGUUUCGGAUCGUAAAACUCUGUCAUUAGGGACGAAAAAAUAGACGGUACCUAAUGAGGAAGCCCCGGCUAACUACGUGCCAGCAG
rnacentral:rRNA from 1 species